GGAUGUGAGGGUGAUCUGGGACAUUCAUCACCCUACAGAUCACCAUGGUUGCCAGAGCUGAUAUGGCUUGCUAGCAGAGUGUGCACUACCUCCUUCAUCACCCAAUGUACCUUUCUCCCAAAGUUAUAGAUUUUACCCAAUACAGAAAGAGGACAGUUCUUCCAUUGAAGUUAUAGAAGCAUCUGUACUCCCCUCAUAAUCACUCCAAGAAAUGCAGAAAAAAGCAAAAUCAGACAAAUGAAACUAUAUGAAAAAAAAUACCUUUACAGUAAAAUAAGCCAUU
rfam:Cricetulus griseus cell line CHO-K1, whole genome shotgun sequence.